CCUACGGGAGGCAGCAGUAGGGAAUCUUCCGCAAUGGGCGAAAGCCUGACGGAGCAACGCCGCGUGAGUGAUGAAGGUCUUCGGAUCGUAAAACUCUGUUAUCAGGGAAGAACAAAUGUGUAAGUAACUGUGCACAUCUUGACGGUACCUGAUCAGAAAGCCACGGCUAACUACGUGCCAGCAACCGCGGUAAUACGUAGGUGGCAAGCGUUAUCCGGAAUUAUUGGGCGUAAAGCGCGCGUAGGCGGUUUUUUAAGUCUGAUGUGAAAGCCCACGGCUCAACCGUGGAGGGUCAUUGGAAACUGGAAAACUUGAGUGCAGAAGAGGAAAGUGGAAUUCCAUGUGUAGCGGUGAAAUGCGCAGAGAUAUGGAGGAACACCAGUGGCGAAGGCGACUUUCUGGUCUGUAACUGACGCUGAUGUGCGAAAGCGUGGGGAUCAAACAGGAUUAGAUACCCUGGUAGUCCACGCCGUAAACGAUGAGUGCUAAGUGUUAGGGGGUUUUCCGCCCCGUUAGUGCUGCNGCUACGCAUUAAGCACCUCCCGCCCGUCGGGGUAGGGUACCGGACCCGGCCGAGGUUAGGUAAACCGUACCGAAACUAGUAAGUUAGUACGGCGUGAGGACGUACGACCGACGGACGACCGACCGACGGGGGAGGGUUAGGGG
rnacentral:rRNA from 1 species